rnacentral:rRNA from 1 species
CUAACAUGUGUGCGAGUCAAUGGGUCUUGAUAUGCCCAAAGGCGGAAUAAAAAUAAAGGCAGCCGGACCCUUUUCGGGCAGCCGGACCUUUGUCGGGAUCCCUCUUCCUCUGUGUAGGGGGCGCACCGGAUGCCUGCCCUCUCCGACUUGUUCGGUUGGGCGGAGUAUGAGCACAUACGUUGGUACCCGAAAGAUGGUGAACUAUGCCUGGACAGGACGAGGUCAGAGGAAACUCUGAUGGAGGUCCGUAGCGGUUCUGACGUGCAAAUCGAUCGUCAGAUCCGAGUAUAGGGGCGAAAGACUAAUCGAACCAUCUA